rnacentral:rRNA from 1 species
UUAAAGGCGACGCCUGCCCAGUGAGUAUUAAACGGCCGCGGUACCCUAACCGUGCAAAGGUAGCAUAAUCAUUUGUCUAUUAAUUGUAGACCUGUAUGAAUGGCAAAAUGAGGGUCCAACUGUCUCUUAUAACAAAUCAAUUAAACUGAUCUCCUAGUACAAAAGCUAGGAUUCCAACAUAAGACCAGAAGACCCUGUGAAGCUUUAACAAACCUAUUAAACCCUAUAAUAACUACUUUCGGUUGGGGCGACCUUGGAAUAAAAAAGAACUUCCAACUACAUGACUUCUCAUAGAACAAGGCAAACAAGCCAACACUAGAUCCAGUACAACUGAUAACCGGAACAAGUUACUCCAGGGAUAACAGCGCCAUCUUCUUCAAGAGCCCAUAUCAAAAAGAAGGUUUACGACCUCGAUGUUGGAUCAGGACAUCCAAGUAAUGCAGCCGUUACUAAAGGUUCGUUUGUUCAACGAUUAACAGUCCUACGUGAUCUGAGUUAGGUCAGUGAUAAUCGUUGAACAAAGAACUUUAGGUAACGCUGCAUUACUUGGAUGUCUGAUCCAACAUCGAGGUCGUAAACCUUCUUUUUGAUAUGGGCUCUGAAGAAAUGGCCUUUUAUCCCUGGAGUAACUUG